AUGGGGAAAUCAGAUUGGUCACUAGGAAAAGUAAAAGGAACGCUGUGUGGCUUUGAAGACUGUUGCCAAAUGUGGAUGGGACAGCCUCACUUGGUCCAGUGCUGUUGCUACCAGCUCAACAAUAACCUCCAGGCCUGGUGGUGGCUUUCCAAGGUACAGGAAAGAAUGGGGGCCUCUACCUGCAUCCGCUCUGCAUGGCAGCACCUCUACUCCAUGCCCUCCUCCCUCUGCUGUGUGGGAGAACCUGCUGCAAAUCAUUCGAGCUGCCCAGGUCCCAGACUUCCACAUCCCUGGCAGAUGCUAGGUCACCAGGGGAUCUAGACUGAGCCCUAAGGAGAGGCAGUUCAGUAGCAGCCACUUCAGGCCAAAUCCCUGGAACUGGAGUGCAGGUGGUUGUGAGUCACCAUGUGGGUGCUGGGAACAGAACCCUCUGCAAGAGCAGCCAGUGUUCUUAACUGCUGAGCCAUCUCUCCAGUCCCCACCGCACACUUUCAAAUAGCCAAGAUCACAUGUGUGCUGGAAAUGCUGGAGGAAAGGUUAGGUCAACCCCAUGACUUAUGGGGGAGACACAAGGAAACAUCUGGGACAUUCUGUGUCUCAGCUGGGAGCUGGUUUUAAUGAAAAUUCACCAAGCUAUCUGUUUCUAAUGUGUGCUCCUUGAUGACUUGAUGACAAAUGUUCUUUGUUGGGCCAAACUUUAGCCUAGAUCUGAGCCUUCUCCUAGGUCCAUCUGUGCACUUCCUCAUAAAAACCAGUAUUAGUAAAGACCUCUGAUGAGUUGCUGGGCCUACACUCCCUAUCCUUGAACUCUGAGCACACUUGAUGGGACCUUGAUGGGGUCAUCAUUCUUUACCUACAUCCCCAGGGCAUGUCUGGUCACCUAGGCCCACCUGUGAUGAGAAUCAGGUUAGGACGGUUUAAUCAGGAUCCUUCUAUGUCUGACACAUUUCUGUGUGACUCACACACAUGUCUGCGGCUGUAUAUUUCCAAGCACCUCAGUUGUCAUCAAAGCAAAGCCCCCAUCUCUCCAGCCUAGGGACCCUCUGCAAUGGCUCCUGUGCCCACCGAGCAGGACUGUGUUUUAACAAGUGCCACUGAACAGCCUAAUUAUUUCUUUAGUAGCUACAAUCAGUAUAAUAUUAGGACAGGGUUUAGCUAUGUAGUCCAGACUGUCUUUGAACUUAUCAUCCUCCUGCCUCAGAUUCCCUAAUGCUGAAGUUACAGGCACCCACCAUCACACCAGGUUUAUGAUAUUUGUUUUAAAAAUGUUUCCUAAAGAGUCAAGGCCUCUCUCUUUAUUUCGGAGGUUCUGCCCACUAUA
rnacentral:lncRNA from 1 species